rnacentral:rRNA from 1 species
UACGUAGGGCGCAAGCGUUAUCCGGAUUUAUUGGGCGUAAAGGGCUCGUCGCGUCCGGUGUGAAAGUCCAUCGCUUAACGGUGGAUCUGCGCCGGGUACGGGCGGGCUGGAGUGCGGUAGGGGAGACUGGAAUUCCCGGUGUAACGGUGGAAUGUGUAGAUAUCGGGAAGAACACCGAUGGCGAAGGCAGGUCUCUGGGCCGUCACUGACGCUGAGGAGCGAAAGCGUGGGGAGCGAACAGG